rnacentral:misc_RNA from 1 species
GAUGAAGAACGUAGCGAAAUGCGAUACUUGGUGUGAAUUGCAGAAUCCCGUGAACCAUCGAGUCUUUGAACGCAAGUUGCGCCUCAAGCCAUUAGGUUGAGGGCACGUCUGCCUGGGCGUCACAUAUCGUUGCCUGAUGCCAGUUUCCUCGUGAUGGGUGACUGUGCAGGGCGAAUGAUGGCUUCCCGUGAGCAUUGUUGCCUCAUGGUUGGUUGAAAAUUGAGUCCUUGGUAGGGAGCGCCGUGAUAGAUGGUGGUUGAGUGACGAACGAGACCCAAUCAUGUGAGACCCCUACCGAAUUUGGCCUUCAUGACCUACAUGCGUCUUUGGAACGCUCAUGACGAGACCUCAGGUCAGGCGGGGCUACCCGCUGAGUUCAAGCAUAUCAAUAAGCGGAGGA